rnacentral:tRNA from 1 species
GAGGGGAUAGCUCAGUGGUACAGCACGUGCUUAGCAUGCAUGAGGUCCUGGGUUCAAUCCCUGUACCUCCA